GACGGGGGGUCCUAGCGUUGUUCGGAAUCAUUGGGCGUAAAGCGUGUGCAGGUGGUUUUAUAAGUUAGAUGUGAAAUCCUUGGGCUCAACCCGAGAAGUGCAUUUAAAACUGUAGAACUUGAGUACGGAAGAGGGUCGUGGAAUUCCGGGUGUAGUGGUGAAAUACGUAGAUAUCCGGAGGAACACCGGUGGCGAAGGCGGCGACCUGGUCCGAUACUGACACUCAUACACGAAAGCGUGGGGAUCAAACAGG
rnacentral:rRNA from 1 species